rnacentral:misc_RNA from 1 species
GAUGAAGAACGUAGCGAAAUGCGAUAAGUAAUGUGAAUUGCAGAAUUCAGUGAAUCAUCGAAUCUUUGAACGCACAUUGCGCCCGCCAGCAUUCUGGCGGGCAUGCCUGUUCGAGUGUCAUUUCAACCCUCGAGCCCCCCCGGGGGCCUCGGUGUUGGGGGACGGCACACCAGCCGCCCCCGAAAUGCAGUGGCGACCCCGCCGCAGCCUCCCCUGCGUAGUAGCACACACCUCGCACCGGAGCGCGGAGGCGGUCACGCCGUAAAACGCCCAACUUUCUUAGAGUUGACCUCGGAUCAGGUAGGAAUACCCGCUGAACUUAAGCAUAUCAAUAAGCGGAGGA